rnacentral:lncRNA from 1 species
CUUCUCUCUUGAAUGAUCUUGUGUUGGGUUGGUAAGAAGUUGUUGGAAAGCACUUAAGAGCUCCCUUUUAUAGCCCAAAAAGCAAAUAUAGCCGCUAGAGAUAAAGUUAAGGGAGUUUGAAAUUCAAACCAAACCUGAAAAAGUUGUCAGUCGCGUCCCAGGCGCUUCGGAGACGUCUCCGCUUCAACGCGAGACGUCUCGGCUGUAAGAUUUUAUUUUUGACGUUGUUUGGGGUCGACUCGGCGCUUUACGGGGACGACUCCGAUGAUGAACGGUUUGAAUCCUUGUUUUUCUGUUUUUCUGAGAGGGUCGCCUCG